rnacentral:rRNA from 1 species
GGCGAGCGUUGUUCGGAAUCACUGGGCAUAAAGCGCACGUAGGCGGUGUCGUAAGUCGGGUGUGAAAUCCCUCGGCCUAACCGAGGAACUGCGCCCGAUACUGCGAUGCUUGAGGACCAGAGGGGUGCAUGGAAUUUCCGGUGGAGCGGUGAAAUGCGUUGAUAUCGGAAGGAACUCCGGCGGCGAAAGCGAUGCACUGGCUGGUUUCUGACGCUGAGGUGCGAAAGCCAGGGGAGCAAACGGG